AACGAACGCUGGCGGCAGGCUUAACACAUGCAAGUCGAACGCCCCGCAAGGGGAGUGGCAGACGGGUGAGUAACGCGUGGGAACGUGCCCUAAGGUACGGAACAACUCCGGGAAACUGGAGCUAAUACCGUAUGUGACCGAGAGGUGAAAGAUUUAUCGCCUUAGGAUCGCCCGCGUCAGAUUAGCUAGUUGGUGGGGUAAUGGCCUACCAAGGCGACGAUCUGUAGCUGUUCUGCGAGGAAGAUCAGCCACACUGGGACUGAGACACGGCCCAGACUCCUACGGGAGGCAGCAGUGGGGAAUCUUGGACAAUGGGCGCAAGCCUGAUCCAGCCAUGCCGCGUGAGUGAUGAAGGCCUUAGGGUUGUAAAACUCUUUCGCCGAGGACGAUAAUGACGGUACUCGGAGAAGAAGCUCCGGCUAACUUCGUGCCAGCAGCCGCGGUAACAC
rnacentral:rRNA from 1 species